rnacentral:tRNA from 1 species
UUUGAUAUGGCAGAUAUAAAUAUGCGAUGAAUUUAAGAUUCAUAGAAGGGUUAAGCUCUAUUAAUG